CGGCUAACUCCGUGCCAGCAGCCGCGGUAAUACGGAGGGUGCGAGCGUUAAUCGGAAUUACUGGGCGUAAAGGGUGCGUAGGUGGUUGAAUAAGUUAUCUGUGAAAUCCCUGGGCUCAACCUGGGGAGGUCAGAUAAGACUGUUUGACUCGAGUAUGGGAGAGGGUAGUGGAAUUUCCGGUGUAGCGGUGAAAUGCGUAGAGAUCGGAAGGAACACCAGUGGCGAAGGCGGCUACCUGGCCUAAUACUGACACUGAAGCACGAAAGCGUGGGGAGCAAACAGGAUUAGAUACCCUGGUAGUCCACGCCGUAAACGAUGUCAACUAGCUGUUGGA
rnacentral:rRNA from 1 species